rnacentral:tRNA from 1 species
CUACCCGGCGGGGAAUCGAACCCCGUUCGCCCACAUGACAGGCGGGAAUACUGACCACUAUACUACCUAGGACA